rnacentral:rRNA from 1 species
UGCUUAACACAUGCAAGUCGAACGGUAACAGAUAAGAUGAUCUCUUCGGAGUGAAUCUUUGCUGACGAGUGGCGGACGGGUGAGUAAUGCUUGGGAAUCUGCCCAAUAGUGGGGGAAAACUCGGGGAAACCCGGGCUAAUACCGCAUAAUCUCUACGGAGGAAAGAGGGCCUCUACAUGUAAGCUCUCGCUAAUGGAUGAGCCCAAGUCAGAUUAGCUAGUUGGUAAGGUAAUGGCUUACCAAGGCUACGAUCUGUAGCUGGUCUGAGAGGAUGAUCAGCCACACUGGGACUGAGACACGGCCCAGACUCCUACGGGAGGCAGCAGUGGGGAAUAUUGCACAAUGGGCGCAAGCCUGAUGCAGCAAUGCCGCGUGUGUGAAGAAGGCUCUAGGGUUGUAAAGCACUUUCAAUAGAGAAGAAAAGCUUGAAGUUAAUACCUUCAAGCCUUGACGUAACCUAUACAAGAAGCACCGGCUAAUUCCGUGCCAGCAGCCGCGGUAAUACGGAAGGUGCGAGCGUUAAUCGGAAUUACUGGGCGUAAAGCGAGCGUAGGCUGUUAAUUAAGUCGAAUGUGAAAUCCCCGGGCUCAACCUGGGAACUGCAUUCGAAACUAUUUGACUAGAGUAUGGGAGAGGAAAGUAGAAUUUCCGGUGUAGCGGUGAAAUGCGUAGAUAUCGGAAGGAACACCAGUGG